rnacentral:tRNA from 1 species
GCAGUCGUGGCCGAGUGGUUAAGGCGAUGGUCUAGAAAUCCAUUGGGGUCUCCCCGCACAGGUUCAAAUCCUGUCGACUGCG